rnacentral:lncRNA from 1 species
GAAUGUACUUUCAUCUACACUUUGAUAGAGUGUGUAGAGGGCCUUCUUAUCUUUCUUUUUUGACUCCUUAUUUUGUUCUUUUGCUCUUGUGUGAGAAUUGCUUCAUCUUCUAUCGGCUCCAUGUAGCCAUCUUCUACAAGAUCUCAAACGUCAAGAGAUCCGAGCAAAGUCUUCAUUUGGAUACACCAAUUAUCAUAGUUGUCUUUGGUGAGUUUGGAUAUCUGGGAUUGAAUAAAGUUCAUGGAGGCCAUGGAUCUUUUGUGGCUUUGAUAUC